rnacentral:rRNA from 1 species
UACGUAGGGACCGAGCGUUGUCCGGAAUCAUUGGGCGUAAAGAGCGUGUAGGCGGCUAUUUAAGUCCUGCGUGAAAUCCUGCGGCUCAACCGCAGACGGUCGUGGGAAACUGGAUGGCUAGAGUGCGGGAGAGGAGAGUGGAAUUCCCGGUGUAGCGGUGAAAUGCGUAGAUAUUGGGAGGAACACCAGUGGCGAAGGCGGCUCACUGGACCGGUACUGACGCUGAGGUGCGAAAGCGUGGGGAGCAAACAGG